UGCUUCCUUCUCUAUCUCAGGCAC
rnacentral:siRNA from 1 species